rnacentral:rRNA from 1 species
UACGGAGGGUGCAAGCGUUAUCCGGAUUCACUGGGUUUAAAGGGUGCGUAGGCGGGUCUGUAAGUCAGUGGUGAAAUCUCCGGGCUUAACCUGGAGACUGCCAUUGAUACUAUAGGUCUUGAAUAUUGUGGAGGUUAGCGGAAUAUGUCAUGUAGCGGUGAAAUGCUUAGAUAUGACAUAGAACACCAAUUGCGAAGGCAGCUGGCUACGCAUAUAUUGACACUGAGGCUCGAAAGCGUGGGGAUCAAACAGG